AACGCAUCUUGCGCUCCUUGGUAUUCUGAGGAGCAUGCCUGUUUGAGUGUCAUCUAAAUUCUCAAACCACAUUGAAUUCUUUCAGUGUGGCUUGGAAGUGGGGGUUUAUUUUUGCAGGCUGGUUUUUACAUAAAAUGAAGUCUGCUCCCCUGAAAUGCAUUAGUGGUAUCUGAGCAGCGGGAACUACUACAGGUGUGAUAAUUUAUCUAUGCCCUUGGUAUGCUGCAUAAACGGAUUGUACUGCUUAUAACAAAACUUUAUUAUUUUGUUUUGGAGACCUCAAAUCAGGUAGGACUACCCGCUGAACUUAA
rnacentral:misc_RNA from 3 species